ensembl:lncRNA
AUGUAUAUUUCUUAUUUAAUAAGGUGUAAUCCUUCUGGAGCCACAAGAACUUUAAGCCAAGUCAAAAUGAAACACAAAAACAUUCUGCAAAAAGCUAACAGAAAGAAGACUGAAGCCCGUCUAACUGGCGGGGGGCCACCACCACCUCCCCUCACCCCAUCUGAGGAGCUGGCUCUGUCCCUUAAUAAAGGGCGACCAGUGGUUGCUGGCAUUCCAGGGGGCAGUUCAUCACACAUACUAUGCACCACAAGUGAUGGUGAAAAAAGGGUGAAAUAUACUGAUGGACGGAUUGUAUUAUUGGACUCUCCAGAAAGAACACAGUCUGUCACAGUUGAUGAAGAUGAUGAUGACGAUGAAGAGACCACAUCUGCUGUGACAGAAGUGGACAAUGCUGGUAGAUCCACUGAGUACAUACCUAGGGAUUUGCCCACAGAUGAGGGUCCUUCAGCCUCAGCACACAAUCUAAGCAGGGUAAGAAUUUGUGUCCAUGUGUCCAUAUUUGAAUUUUAUUGUCUGACCAAACAAUCUCAUUUAUUACAUUUUUCCACCUUAGUUGCCAGCAAAGGAGCUGUAUAAGGUCCAUCUUCAAAAACAAAUAAGAAAAAGUGACAUGGUGAUGGACCUUAUACAGCUUCAAAUGGAAGAGAAAAGGCUCCUCAUUAAAAAAGCAGCACUUGAAAUAGAAUUACUUGAGAAUCGCCUUAAGGUGAGAACUUGUCUGAAUAUUAAUCUGUUGCAUGUUAAAAGUGGUCUGUCUGUCUGUCUGUGUCUGUCUCUAUCUAUCUAUCUAUCUAUCUAUCUAUCUAUCUGUAUGUAUGUAUGUAUAUAUGUAUGUAUGUAUGUGUAAAGCAAUAUAAAAAAACAUUUUAAUGAAUUUUACUUUUAUUGUUUUUCAGGAAAUGAAGAAAUAAACUGCCUGGCAGACCAGUGCA